rnacentral:lncRNA from 1 species
CCAAUUUAGCAUCUAUUUUGAGGCUCUUAGCCAUUCACAGCAUUCAGUACAUCAUAAAUCACACCUCUGCGACUAGCCUCUGUGAGCUGGAACUAGCUCUGCCCGUAACUAAAAAUAAAUUUACAGGCAUGCCCCCAGGCAAUUUUAGCAUCUAUUUUUAGACAUUUAGAGCAUUCACUACUUCAUAAAUCGCACCUCUGCGACUAGCUCUGCCCAUAACUAAAAAUAACUUAAUUGACCUUAAUUUAGUUUCUAACUCCCGCAUUUAAACCUUAAGCAGUGAACCUAUCUUUCUCCAUGCAAUUUCACCUUUUUCUAUAUUGGGAUUAAAAGAUUAAAGAUAGGUAGGGUGACACUGACAAGUGACAAGUGACAAGGAGAUAGAUCGAGUGAAAAAUGUAAAAGAUUCGAUGGAUAGAUCCAGGUUAAAAUUAUAAAAUCAGAGAGAGAGUGUGUGUUAUUUAAGCUAAUCAAAACUUCUUAGCAUUAACAAAAUGAUUGUUCUAACAUCUAGAAUUGCUCUUUAAGUAAUAUCAAGUGGUGCUCUGCACACAAAUUGUAUGGGAUCCAGAUUCCAGAGAUCAGAGUGUAAUGAAUUGCUAAUCAAGGCAUUUUAUAGAAGCAGGUUGAAAUGAGAAAUUUCUAUUCUUACCGUCAGCGUUUCCACCUUUUAUAUAUUACAGUCUUUCUAACCAAAUUCCAAAUCUGCUGGUUUAGAUUUAUCCGUUAAUUUAUAAAUUUUAGGGUUUUAGCUAACUGUCUAAGUGUCUAACUAUCGGUAAUCAAAUACUGAUUUCUAAUUUUUAACAAUAAACAAACACACAAGUACACACUAAGUCACUAACACAAGAAUCUGGCCUAAAAAUUCAUAAAACAUAAACAAAAUGUCGCCGUUCAUCACUGUUUUAUACAC